CAAUCAACCACAGGCUUACAAAGGGGGGAGAUUUAGACACAGGCAGACAGACGAACACUGUGUGAAGACAAAUUCUGCACAAGGGAGACACCAUGUAAAGACGCAGGCAGAAACAAGAAGAAGAAGAGCUGGGAAAUGAGAAACUCCUGCAGGAGCAAGAGGAGUCCUGUGUUCAGACUGCUGAGUUCAGAGACACUGGGAUCUCAUUGGAGGAGGAAUCCCUGCGCCUGUACUCAAACAAGCUACACUACGGUCCAGGCUAGAGGUUCAGAGACUGCCAUAGUGGUACCUAGGAUAGGACCAUGACACAUUGUGUUCCCCUUUUGCCUAAGUUCUCCAGUAAUAAACACCUUGGUGUCUGUCAUUGACACUCUCCGUGA